AUGCCCAGUGAUCUGCCCCAGGUCGAACUCCUGGAAGGAGUUGAGAAUGGUGAGUACUUGUAACCUUGCUGGUAUUAGCUUGACCCAGAGUCUAGUGCCAGUGAGGAAAGCAAGCAUCCCGUCUUAACCCCUGUUCUAGCGCCAGAGCCAGUAAUGGUGAACCCACUGGGGCUAACUGGGAGAGAGGAUGAGAACCUGUUCCAUAAGGAACUGUCUGAGGUACAGCAAAUGCCUGUUGGUAGCAUUUGCUUAGCAUUUCUUGGCCUGUCCACUAACCAUAGCUAGAAUAGCUUUGGCUGUUUUAGAUAUUUUGCUAAUUACAUGAUUUUCUCAUUCAGGAGCAGCUUGUUAAUGUAUACUACUGAAAAGCCUCCAGAAUUAAAAGGUUAGUUGAUUAAUGUCUCUAUGGUUUAUGCCACCAAGUAGACAGUUUCUAUGAUGAAGCAAACUAGCUCACUAUGACUUCACAAUGAAAACACGUGAACACCUGAGAAACUGGAGAACACAGUAGGGGAGGUACCAUGUGUAAGGAACUUUUGUCACCCACAGCUUUGUCUUUCCCUAGGUGCUGUUUCCAGUAGCCUGCUUAUUUUCUCAGAGGUCCAGCACCUUGUCUGAAGCCCAAGAAUGAUUUGAGGGUGAGCAUAAGCCAUAUUUCUGCUCAACUGCAGUCUGAAGUUAGAGGACUGAAGAAAGAUCAAAGCACAUAAAAUGGAAUCCAGCUCUUAGAAGACAUCAAAAAGGGCAUUUUCAAGUUAUUUCUUAUACAACC